rnacentral:rRNA from 1 species
UGAGGAAUAUUGGACAAUGGGCGAAAGCCUGAUCCAGCCAUGCCGCGUGAGUGAUGAAGGCCUUCGGGUUGUAAAGCUCUUUCAGUCGUGACGAUAAUGACGGUAGCGACAGAAGAAGCCCCGGCUAAAUUCGUGCCAGCAGCCGCGGUAAUACGAAUGGGGCAAGCGUUGUUCGGAAUCACUGGGCUUAAAGCGUACGCAGGCGGCCAUGCAAGUCAGAAGUGAAAUCCCUGGGCUCAACCCAGGAAUUGCUUUUGAAACUGCACGGCUAGAAUCCCGGAGAGGUUGGCAGAAUUCCGAGUGUAGAGGUGAAAUUCGCAGAUAUUCGGAGGAAUACCAGUGGCGCAAGCGGCCAACUGGACGGGCAUUGACGCUCAGGUACGAAAGCGUGGGGAGCAAACAGGAUUAGAUACCCGGGUAGUCC